CCAUCUAGGUGGCAGGCCAGCCUUCAAACCUCUGCACAUCCUCACUGAAUGGGGCCCCCACUCCAUGUCCUCUACUGCCAACUCUUAGCCAUCUCCACCUCGCUCCUAGGAGUCCCAGAAAGCUGUGAGUGCCCCCCAGGCCAUUUCAGCCCUGCAGAGGACAAGUGCCACCGCACCUCUGUCCCAGUCUCCUCCAGACCGUGUCUCUCCAGGUGGCCACCAGCCAGGCCACAGAGUCUCAGAGGAAAGAGGGGGUCCAAGUUCCUCUGCCUUGGCAUCCCUCAACCUACCAUGAG
rnacentral:lncRNA from 1 species